rnacentral:rRNA from 1 species
ACACUCCUACGGGAGGCAGCAGUGGGGAAUAUUGCACAAUGGGCGCAAGCCUGAUGCAGCCAUGCCGCGUGUAUGAAGAAGGCCUUCGGGUUGUAAAGUACUUUCAGCGGGGAGGAAGGCGAUAAGGUUAAUAACCUUGUCGAUUGACGUUACCCGCAGAAGAAGCACCGGCUAACUCCGUGCCAGCAGCCGCGGUAAUACGGAGGGUGCAAGCGUUAAUCGGAAUUACUGGGCGUAAAGCGCACGCAGGCGGUCUGUCAAGUCGGAUGUGAAAUCCCCGGGCUCAACCUGGGAACUGCAUUCGAAACUGGCAGGCUAGAGUCUUGUAGAGGGGGGUAGAAUUCCAGGUGUAGCGGUGAAAUGCGUAGAGAUCUGGAGGAAUACCGGUGGCGAAGGCGGCCCCCUGGACAAAGACUGACGCUCAGGUGCGAAAGCGUGGGGAGCAAACAGGAUUAGAUACCCCAGUAGUCCCAUG